rnacentral:misc_RNA from 1 species
AUUAACGAAAAGCUUCGAAAGUAAAUUGAUCGGCGCAUCCGGAAUUUUGAACAUCACUUCUCCAUCGAUCAGUGACGCCAUGAUCCUUAGCAGUGUAAGCGAUUCAUAAUUAUUUCUGUUACUUACAACUAUUCAUGCUCUUAAUGGAAUAUCACACAUUUGGUAGAAGCCACCAGGUACAAGAUUUUGUUAUAAAAUCAACAGACAACUAUUCCGUGUAUUGAAUCAAAGUGAACAAGGUAUGAACAUUUUCUUUAUCAGAUUUCACCACAGGAACAACCAUUUGCGUACCAUCUUGAUCCAGUAGAACUUGUUCGAACAGUAUAGUCUCAGUAGUAUCGGCACUUGGAUCUGUGGCGGUGGAAUUCUCUUUCGGUUCAUCUAAUUGGUUUUCCCUUAGCGUGAGUCCACAUGUGCCUUCUGAGGGCUGCGCUGAACGUGAACGCAAUUCCACACACCGUACAGACGUACGGUUUUUCUCCGGUAUGAAGGAGGCUGUGAUCCUUCAGCGUCGACUUCUGGUUAAACUGCUUUCCACAUACUUCGCAAGUGUAACUUCUCGGGUUCGAAUGUAUUCUCAUGUGAUUCAGUAGGUUACCUUGCUGAGAGAACGACUUGUUGCAAACGGUACAUGGAAACGGUUUUUCUCCCGUAUGGACCCUUAAAUGUGUUGCUAGGGUUCGAUUAUUGAGGAAUCUUUUUCCACAGAUCGUACAAGGGUAUUUGGGCAGAUGAAGACCGUUCGGAUCAAGAUGAGUGAUGAGGUGUCUCUUGUAGUUCCCUUUGUGAUUGAAUACUCUGCUACAUUGAUUACAGGCAUAAG